UCAUGACAACAUUGUUCUGGAACAUAUGUUAAAAAGUUGAAUUUCAAAUAAAUACAGAAAAAAAAUCACAAGUCCAGUCAGUGCAGUUACAAAAAGAAGAAAGAAGAUAUUUCAUCGGCUCAUUAUUUGAGUGGAGAAGGGUUCCAGAGUACAGAGAGGUAUCCUGAUGGCAGAAAAAGGCAGACAGAAGCAUCUAAUUUCUUCUUGCAUCAGGAGGAUAAAUCAGGCAGCAAACAACAGGAGGAUCAACAUCGUAUGGAUCAACAAGACGGUUAAAAAACAGGUGCGCAAGCAACUCAGAUAGCUGCCUUUAGAGUCCUUUCUUGUGGGACUCAUCCUGAGAAUGAACCACAUUAUUAAGCCGCUGGAUGACCUUCAGAAGCUGUUGGAAAGACAUAUAGAGGAACAGGAAUCCCAAUGUUACAUAUGGCAGGGGGACAUGGAGGAAGAGGAUAAGGAUGAGUGCCUGGACCCGAAGACAAAGAACUUGAACUUUUCUGAAACAUCUACUGAUACUAACAGCAUCCUAACAAGAUAUGAGCAAGAGAUGGUAGAAUCAGAGGAUGGGGGAAAGUUCAAAGAAUCCUUUUUGGGUCAAACCAAGCUUCAAGCCCCAGGAACAAAAAUGUGAGGAGAGGGUCAAAAUAGAUAGAACAAAUAAGGAGGAUGAGCUGAUGGAGAAACAAUGGAAGGAGUGGAUGGACCAACAAGAAGUUAGAGGAAAACAAGUCAAAGUAACGCUAGAUGCAGCACAGAGUAUUGGAAAACAGGAAACAGCAGCAGCAAAGCCCAUACUUGAGAAACAAGAGAAGAAAACUCCCAAAAAAGAGAGCAAGAUUACAAAAAUCAAGAAUCAUUUUAAUUAUCUUUUCAAUCCUUUCUCUCCUUCUAAGUGGAAGAGAUUUGAAGAUGAGAGCUGAAAGACUAUAACUACAUUUUCCAUUUGUCUCUUUGCUGUGCUUCAUGAAGUAUUAAGCUCCAUAAAUAAAACUAUGUGCAUCAAAACAAAACUGA